rnacentral:rRNA from 1 species
GCAUAUCAAUAAGCGGAGGAAAAGAAACCAACAGGGAUUGCCUCAGUAACGGCGAGUGAAGCGGCAACAGCUCAAAUUUGAAAUCUGCCCCCCCGGGCCGAGUUGUAAUUUGCAGAGGAUGCUUUUGGCGAGGUGCCUUCCGAGUUCCCUGGAACGGGACGCCAUAGAGGGUGAGAGCCCCGUCUGGUCGGACACCGAGCCUCUGUAAAGCUCCUUCGACGAGUCGAGUAGUUUGGGAAUGCUGCUCUAAAUGGGAGGUAUAUGUCUUCUAAAGCUAAAUACCGGCCAGAGACCGAUAGCGCACAAGUAGAGUGAUCGAAAGAUGAAAAGCACUUUGAAAAGAGAGUUAAAUAGCACGUGAAAUUGUUGAAAGGGAAGCGUUUAUGACCAGACUUGGCCCGGUUGAUCAUCCAGCGUUCUCGCUGGUGCACUCUGCCGGUCCAGGCCAGCAUCAGUUCGCUCCGGGGGACAAAGGUUUCGGGAAUGUGGCUCCCUCCGGGGAGUGUUAUAGCCCGUUGCGUAAUACCCUGGGGUGGACUGAGGUCCGCGCAUUGCAAGGAUGCUGGCGUAAUGGUCAUCAACGACCCGUCUUGAAACACGGACCAAGGAGUCGUCUUCGUAUGCGAGUGUUCGGGUGCAAAACCCCUACGCGUAAUGAAAGUGAACGCAGGUGAGAGCUUCGGCGCAUCAUCGACCGAUCCUGAUGUUCUCGGAUGGAUUUGAGUAAGAGCAUACGGGGCCGGACCCGAAAGAAGGUGAACUAUGCCUGUAUAGGGUGAAGCCAGAGGAAACUCUGGUGGAGGCUCGCAGCGGUUCUGACGUGCAAAUCGAUCGUCAAAUAUGGGCAUGGGGGCGAAAGACUAAUCGAACCUUCUAGUAGCUGGUUUCCGCCGA